AGAGUUUGAUCAUGGCUCGGGACGAACGCUGGCGGCGCGCCUAACACAUGCAAGUCGAACGAGCGAGAGAGAGCUUGCUUUCUCGAGCGAGUGGCGAACGGGUGAGUAACGCGUGAGGAACCUGCCUCAAAGAGGGGGACAACAGUUGGAAACGACUGCUAAUACCGCAUAAGCCCACGGGUCGGCAUCGACCAGAGGGAAAAGGAGCAAUCCGCUUUGAGAUGGCCUCGCGUCCGAUUAGCUAGUUGGUGAGGUAAUGGCCCACCAAGGCGACGAUCGGUAGCCGGACUGAGAGGUUGAACGGCCACGAUUGGGACUGAGACACGGCCCAGACUCCUACGGGAGCA
rnacentral:rRNA from 1 species